GGGGGCGUUUAGAUUCGACAGGGAUGUAGGGUCGUAGGUGGCAAGCCGGGGAGCUUGUGCCCCGUACCAAAUAAGCAAAACAAUAGAUGCAAAUAACGUCAUCAAAUUCCCUGGCCGCAGCAUGGCUGCGGUUGCCUAACUAAUUUAACUUAGGCUCCAGGACUCGACAGCGACUUGACUACCCGUUGCUGAAGGGUAAGACACGGUGGUUGCUCUAGAACGAAGUUAGCGAGUGCUAGUUCUAGUUAAGACAUAAUCGCGAACCCGGUCGGCAGUCUGAGCCGACUUCAGCGGGCCGCAAGGCACUGAGGAAAUGUCAGACUAAGCUUGUAGAGGCCUGCCUCUCGACAUUUUUGGACGCGAGUGCGAUUCUCGCCGCCUCCACCA
rnacentral:tmRNA from 1 species